rnacentral:rRNA from 1 species
GAAUAUUGGUCAAUAGCCUAACGGCUGAACCAGCAACUUGGAGGAAUGUAUAGCGAAAGCUAAUUGUAUUAGCAGGCAACGGUUAAUACAAUAUCGACUAUGUCGACUAAAGUUCUAGGUAGAGUAAUGAUAAUGACAUUUUCUACCUAUGUGUCUUGACCAAGUCACGUGCCAGCAGUCGCGGUAAUACGUGGAAGACAAGUGUUAUUCAUCUUUAAUAGGUUUAAAGGGUACCCAGACGGCAUAUUUAGCCUUAAAAAGGUACUAAAUAAACUAGAGUUUAAUGUGAGGGGGGGGGUACUAAAGGUGUAGAGAUGAAAUUCUGUCAUACCUGGAGGAGACUGGUAGCGGCGAAAGCAACCCUUUAUGCAAAAACUGACGUUGAAG